UUUUCAAAUAGUCUAAAAGUGUUUGUCGUCAAAACCUUUAAUUGUGACUCAUCUAUUGUAAUCAAAACCGUAAAAAGGAUCGAUUUUACUGAAUCAGAAGUAACAUAUUAAAAAUUUGUUUUUUUUCCAAUUACUGAUUCCACAGUUAUUCACUAUGCCUGCAUUUAUUAAUAUUUCGUUCAAACAACUACAGACUGCUAUUUAUAUGGUUCCGUUUAUAUUAAUUUUUGGCAGAAUAGUCUACGUUGUGUGUAAUUCUUUUGAUUCGCAAUAUUGGCUUUUGUUCUGGUUAAUUAUCUUCAAUAUCGCAGCCUAUUAUUUGAUGUGUUGGUCAUUUGGACUUGAAAUUAAUGCAAGAAGACGUGAGAGGUUCCACAUGGUGCUGUUGGAAAUGAUUGUACAGAGAGUUUUUCAAAGAUCCCCUUUUACGGAAGAUGACUUAGAAAUUCUUGAAAGAUAUAUAUAUCAACCAGAGGAAAUGGAGGCAAUAUUACGUGAACUCGAUAGACGCAUCAAUUAUUCGAGCACUUCGAACGUUGAAUUAUGGCAGUUCGUGCAAACUGAUGCACGUGUUAACAUGUUCUGCAAUGCGGUAAGAACUGCAUAUGCCCAAAGCCAUAACCGUUAAACAUUACCCAAGUCCUCAAGCUAAAAAAGAAUUACACAUAACCAAAAUUUUUCGCUUCGAAAUUCAAAAAAAUUGGAGGUUUUUUUGGCGUAUAACUUUUACUGGAAUCCAUGAUGUUUAUAUGAUGUUCAUAUGUUUGGCAAUAUUUAAUGUAUAUUUAGAUGAAUAAUAGUAACAGAUACAUUUUUGAGUUGCUGUUUGAAGUUCUAUCAUAGUGCCAAGCCGAUAAAUUUGCAGUAUACGAUCUACAGCUGCCAGACGAUAUCUGAUGAUAUCGAAUUUUAACAGUAGUUUUCUUAAGCACAAACAAAAUGUAUUAACUUUUAUUCAAUCCAAUUACAUU